rnacentral:rRNA from 1 species
AUUGAACGCUGGCGGCAUGCUUUACACAUGCAAGUCGAACGGUAACAGGCCGCAAGGUGCUGACGAGUGGCGAACGGGUGAGUAAUGCAUCGGAACGUGCCCAGUCGUGGGGGAUAACGCAGCGAAAGCUGCGCUAAUACCGCAUACGAUCUGUGGAUGAAAGCGGGGGACCGAAAGGCCUCGCGCGAUUGGAGCGGCCGAUGUCAGAUUAGGUAGUUGGUGGGGCAAAGGCCCACCAAGCCAACGAUCUGUAGCUGGUCUGAGAGGACGACCAGCCACACUGGGAAUGAGACACGGACCAGGCUCCAACGGGAGGCAGCAGUGGGGAAUUUUGAACAAUGGGCGCAGGCCUGAUCCAGCAGUGCCGCGUGCAGGAAGAAGGGCUUCGGGUUGUAAACUGCUUUUGUACGGAACGAAACGGCUCUGGUUAAUACCUGGGGCUAAUGACGGUACCGUAAGAAUAAGCACCGGCUAACUACGUGCCAGCCGCCGCCGUAACAC